AAGGCCAAUCGGUCAGAGACUACAGCUUGUAUAAAAGCAGAGGAGGUGGCGCGUUUCCUUCUCUUUCUUUGAGAACCUACCGGAAGAAGUAGUGCUGUAGUGAAAUCAGAAGAAGAAGAGGUUCUGUAGAACUGCUUGCAGUCUUUUGCCGUCUCUGCAGUUAUGGAUCUGGACCCAGGACGCAGGUCUGGGUCAGCGCUGGGGGAACCACGUGCAGGUCCAGGUGAUGACCCUGGCUGACAUGGACAUGAGCUGGAUGGAGACUAUACAGAUCCCGAAGGGAUAAAUGUUGGCGUCCAGGUUGACUGGGAAGUGAGCGCUAGCUCUGCCCUAGCCUAGCUCUAAAGAUGUGGUGAGAAGAUUACCAUGGAGACCAGCUGCAGGCCAGGAGUUCAGAAAGCUGCUGCUGCUUUAUGGGAAUGUGUGCAAUGAAUCCAUGACAAACAGCCGUGAAACUGAUGCUGUAAAACUGUCAGCUGUAUGGUUGGAAUAAAGACCACUGAAAAUA